rnacentral:rRNA from 1 species
UGCUUGGGAAUAUGCCUUGAGGUGGGGGACAACAGUUGGAAACGACUGCUAAUACCGCAUAAUGUCUACGGACCAAAGAGGGGGACCUUCGGGCCUCUUGCCUUUAGAUUAGCCCAAGUGAGAUUAGCUAGUAGGUGGGGUAAUGGCUCACCUAGGCGACGAUCUCUAGCUGGUCUGAGAGGAUGAUCAGCCACACUGGGACUGAGACACGGCCCAGACUCCUACGGGAGGCAGCAGUGGGGAAUAUUGGACAAUGGAGGCAACUCUGAUCCAGCCAUGCCGCGUGCAGGAUGACUGCCC